rnacentral:rRNA from 1 species
AGUGAACGCUGGCGGUAGGCCUAACACAUGCAAGUCGAACGGCAGCACAUUAAGAGCUUGCUCUUACGGGUGGCGAGUGGCGGACGGGUGAGGAAUACAUCGGAAUCUACUUUUUCGUGGGGGAUAACGUAGGGAAACUUACGCUAAUACCGCAUACGACCUACGGGUGAAAGCAGGAGAUCUUCGGACCUUGCGCGAUUGAAUGAGCCGAUUUCGGAUUAUCUAGUUGGCGGGGUAAAGGCCCACCAAGGCGACGAUCCGUAGCUGGUCUGAGAGGAUGAACAGCCACACUGGAACUGAGACACGGUCCAGACUCCUACGGGAGGCAGAAGUGGGGAAUAUUGGACAAUGGGCGCAAGACUGAUCCAGCCAUACCGCGUGGGUGAAGAAGGCCUUCGGGUUGUAAAGCCCUUUUGUUGGGAAAGAAAAGCAGCAGGUUAAUACCACGCUGUUCUGACGGUACCCAAAGAAUAAGCACCGGCUAACUUCGUG